rnacentral:tRNA from 1 species
CCGCCCAUAGCUCAGUUGGUAGAGCAAACGCCUCUUAAGCGUAAGGUCCCUGGUUCGAAUCCAGGUGGGCGGA